rnacentral:rRNA from 1 species
GACGAACCGUCCAAACGUUAUUCGGAAUUAUUGGGCUUAAAGGGUGCGUAGGCGGCGCUGUAAGUCGGGUGUGAAAUCCCACGGCUCAACCGUGGAACUGCGCCCGAUACUGCAGUGCUUGAGGGAGACAGAGGUAAGCGGAACUGAUGGUGGAGCGGUGAAAUGCGUUGAUAUCAUCAGGAACACCAGUGGCGAAAGCGGCUUACUGGGUCUUUUCUGACGCUGAGGCACGAAAGCUAGGGUAGCGAACGGG